GUAAAAGUGAAAGGAACAAGGUAUACUUUCACAAAUGAGGUUGUCCUUGUCAGCAAACAUCUGUGGAAGGGCUGAUCACCGCAGAGGACUGAAUCCGCAUUCCUUGGGUGUCAUACCUGGGAAAUGGCUCUUUUGAGCAGGUUGCAGAAGUACAAAGAGUAGAUUCAACUUGUUCCAUAAAGGAUGUACUUAGAGAAGACUGAAGUUACUUCUGGGUAGUAAGUUCUUUGACAUUCAGAAUAACUGCUUGUCUCAGCCCUGCCUCUGACCCAAGGCACUGCUGUUUCUUCAUCUGGACUGUUGUUGUGACCUCCUCACUGGCCCCAUAGUUCCACCCUAGUUCUCACCCAGCGGCCACGGUGAUCCUGAGAAUCCCAAGUCCCUACAGAGGACCUCACCUUGCAAACUACACCAGGAGCUCUGCCCUCUCAGUCUUUGUGCUGCUGGCCCCUCUUCCUGGCACCCCAUCCCAGCUGCAGCGUGGCCGCUGCCCUCUGUCCUCCAAGGUUUUCCUCCUCUCUGCCAUCUCAGUGAGUCCAACUGAAACCACUCAGUUUCAGACCCCAGCCUUCACCCCACUCUGCCCGCCUCACCCUCUUUCCCUACCCUGUCCCAGGCCCUUUCCACCUUCUGACAUACCAUGUAUUUGCCCAUUGAUUUUGCUUAUUGUCCUCAUCAAUAGAGCAUAAGCUAAAUGAAAGCUGAUUUUUCUUGUUUUGUUAGCUGCUCUAUUUCCAGUGCCCAGCAUGGUGCCAGCACACAGUAGGGGUUCUGAAUAUUUGUUGAAUGAAUGAAUAAGUGAAUUAAUUGAGUAUUUUCUAUGUGUCAUCUAAAUGGAGUCAAAUUUGGUUUUCUUUAUCAUAUAAAACUACAUGGUAAGGCUAAUGUCUAUGAUGGGUAUAUUCUAAAAAUUGUUUGUAACAAGCUAAUCAGGACCUUCUUUAUAACACAGAGGCCUGAUGAUGGGACUGAGCUGGGGGAGGCAUAGAAGACAGUAGAAAGAGAUCAUGGACUGAGGAUUUAGCCAGAGCAUUUGCUCUCAGUUUCUACAUCAGGAAAACGUGCAUGAACAUUCCUGGCAUUGUUGCGAGGAUUAAAGAUAAGGUGUAUAAAGUGCCUGGCCCACACUGAUGAUUACCACCUAAAUGGAAUAAUCAUAAGCUUGAUGUCAUCCUUUAAAGCUGUCCUAGAGAUUUUCUCAGCUGUCCCAGUGCCUUCAAACUUCUAAGAAAGCAAAUGAACGGUCCGAUUUCCUGCUGGAAGUCCUUGGCCACUGCACCCUGGAGGGUGGGGAGGACCUUUCAGGACUGGAGCAGAGCAGACCUGCCAAGCUCUGCCACCACAUACCCUUAGCAGACAUGUGAAGGAUCAGACUCUCUCCCUUUGCCCUGGGUAAAGCGGACACUUCUUUUGUCUGUUCCUGCUUCCAGCGUGUGCACUCGUGCGGUGCCUGCAAUGUGUGGUCUGGCCCGCACGUUACGGUCUUACACUUGGCCUAGGAAAUAGAAAUGGCACGUCAGGUUUCAAAUGACCUGCCUGUGGCUACCGGGUGCCCUGAACUCCAGAUAACUGUUCUUUCACCAUUUACAGCCCUCAUACAUCUACGUCGUGAAUACUGACUGCUUAUUCUAUACCAGGCACUGUUGCAGGCCCUGGGGCUGCAGUAAUGACUGUCCUCAUGGAGUGUACACUCCAGUGGGCUAAAAAUCCCACAGAUGAGUGGCAAGGAAAUGUGUCACAUACCAGGUAGAGAUUCUUGCUAUUCAGAAAAGGAAGCAGGGUGAGUGGCAUCGGAUGUUAUGAGACU